CAGCCGCCGCGGGAAUACAGAGGGUGCGAGCGUUAAUCGGAUUUACUGGGCGUAAAGCGUGUGUAGGUUGUUGUUCAAGUCAGUUGUGAAAUCCCUGGGCUCAACCUGGGAACUGCUUCUGAGACUGAACGACUAGAGUACGGUAGAGGGUGGUGGAAUUUCCGGUGUAGCGGUGAAAUGCGUAGAUAUCGGAAGGAACAUCAAUGGCGAAGGCAGCCACCUGGGCCUGUACUGACACUGAGACACGAAAGCGUGGGGAUCAAACAGGAUUAGAUACCCCGGUAGUCCCUGUCUCUUAUAC
rnacentral:rRNA from 1 species